rnacentral:rRNA from 1 species
AUGUAUGCAUGCUUGUUGUGGACCAUUAGUGACUACCCAGCUUACGCAAUGCUGAGUGGUUGGAGCACAAAAUGCAAGCUAGCAUGCCCGUAUUGCCACAAACAUACAGAUUUUUUAUGGCUCAAGUAUGGUCGAAAGCAUUGCUACAUGGGACAUCGACGUUUUCUGCCCAGGACCCACAAAUGGCGUCGAAACAGGUGUUUGUUCAACAACAAGGCAGAUAAUAGAGAAGCUCCAGUGGCACUUACAGGUGAGCAAGUUCUGCGGGAACUUGAUAGCAUUCAGCAUGCACCAUUUGGACGGUCAAAUAAGAGAAAGCGACCGGAAACUAGUAGCUGGCAUAACUGGCGGAAGAAAAGUGUAUUUUUCCAGCUCCCAUAUUGGAAGAACUUGCUCGUAAGGCACAAUUUGGAUGUUAUGCACAUCAAGAAGAAAAUUUGUGACAACAUUGUGGGGACCUUGCUUGAGAUGGAUAAGAAAUCAAAGGAUGGUGUGAAGGCUCGUCUUGAUUUACAGGACCUGAAAAUUAGGAAGGACCAGCAUCCAAAGCAUGGUAAGCAUAAGUAUGACAUAAAGAAAGGUUGCUAUACUUUAAAAAAGGAAGAAAAGAUAAUGCUCCUCAAGUUUCUGCAGAGCAUUAAGAUGCCUGAUGGCUAUGCUUCACACAUUAAGCGAUGUGUAGCCCUCGAUCAGUGCAAGAUUAGUGGACUCAAAACUCAUGACUGUCAUGUGAUAUUUCAGAAACUUCUUCCUAUUGCAUUGCACAAGCUUUUGCCAGAGAAUGUUGUUAACCCAUUGCUUCAGCUGAGUAAAUUAUUUUCUGAUUUAUGCUCCAAGGAGUUAAGGGAUGAAGAUUUGGAGAGGUUGAGCAAAACAAUUCCAGAAACUCUAUGUCAGCUUGAGAUGAUCUUUCCACCAGCAUUCUUUGAUAUUAUGAUGCAUCUCCCAAUUCAUCUUGCUGAAGAGGCCCGAUUGGGAGGGCCUGUCUUGUACAGAUGGAUGUAUCCAAUUGAGCGAUACUUGCGUACGCUCAAAGGAUAUGUGCGUAACAAGGCUCAACCAGAAGGUUCUAUAGCAGAGGGGUACAUACUUGAAGAGUGCAUGACUUUUUGCAGUCGAUUCGUUGAUGGAAUGCCUACCAAGCUAAGUCAGUCCGAACGUCAUGAAGACGGGGUUACAAAUCAAUCACCAAUAGGGAUUAGCAUAAUGAGUACAGUUGAUUACUCCAAGAAAGGUUUUGUUUGUGAAUCAUUGUCUUUGGCUGAGAUUAAUAAAAUGAGGCAUUUCAUAAUAACAAACUGUGAGGAAACCGCGCCAUGGAUUGAGUACGAAUACUUAUGUAUUUAA